GGAGGCAGCAGUAGGAAUAUUGGACAAUGGAGGAGACUCUGAUCCAGCCAUGCCGCGUGUAGGAAGAAUGCCUAUGGGUUGUAAACUACUUUUAUACAGGAAGAAACACUGGUAUGUAUACCAGCUUGACGGUACUGUAAGAAUAAGGACCG
rnacentral:rRNA from 1 species